rnacentral:rRNA from 1 species
GCCCUGGCCGGGCGGUCUGCCUCACGGUAUGUACUGUCUGGCUGGGGCUUACCUCUUGGUGAGCUCGCAUGCCGUUUAUUCGGUGUGUGAGGGAACCAGGACUUUUACUUUGAGCAAAUUAGAGUGUUCAAAGCAGGCAAUCGAGCCUUGAAUACUUCAGCAUGGGAUAAUGGAACAGGA